rnacentral:rRNA from 1 species
CCCUUAGAUGUUCUGGGCCGCACGCGCGCUACACUGAUGCAUUCAACGAGCCUAGCCUUGACCGAGAGGUCCGGGUAAUCUUUGAAACUGCAUCGUGAUGGGGCUAGAUUAUUGCAAUUAUUAAUCUUCAACGAGGAAUGCCUAGUAAGCGUGAUUCAUCAAAUCGCGUUGAUUACGUCCCUGCCCUUUGUACACACCGCCCGUCGCUCCUACCGAUUGAGUGUGUUGGUGAGGAGUUUGGAUUGGCCUCGGAAGGUGGUUCGCCACCGUCCGUAGCUGAGAAGUUCUCCAAACUGCCCCACUUAGAGGAAGGAGAAGUCGUAACA